AGCGCACAUUUGGAUGAUAAGAGAGAGAUGUGACCACCAGGGAGGCCUAGAACAAUCUAGGAGCCAGUGAACUAAUUGGAGGAAGAGGAGUCUUGAAACAAAAUGGAAGAGAAAUGUUUGAGUGAUGAACUGGGAACUCGGGAAAAAUUAUUUAAUCGACAAAGAGAAAGGGAGAAAGAGAGGAGAAGACAUCGAGCUAGCCAGAAUGAUCCUGGGUCUCAGAAGGUCAGGACUGAGGGGAGAGGAAAGGGAGAGGAGGAGCAGCCAGUGCAGAGCUUCUCAGCCUUCACUGGAAUCCCAAUG
rnacentral:lncRNA from 1 species